AGUGAACGCUGGCGGUAGGCCUAACACAUGCAAGUCGAACGGCAGCACAGUAAGAGCUUGCUCUUACGGGUGGCGAGUGGCGGACGGGUGAGGAAUACAUCGGAAUCUACUUUUUCGUGGGGGAUAACGUAGGGAAACUUACGCUAAUACCGCAUACGACCUACGGGUGAAAGCAGGGGAUCUUCGGACCUUGCGCGAUUGAAUGAGCCGAUGUCGGAUUAGCUAGUUGGCGGGGUAAAGGCCCACCAAGGCGACGAUCCGUAGCUGGCCUGAGAGGAUGAUCAGCCACACUGGAACUGAGACACGGUCCAGACUCCUACGGGAGGCAGCAGUGGGGAAUAUUGGACAAUGGGCGCAAGCCUGAUCCAGCCAUACCGCGUGAGUGAAGAAGGCCUUCGGGUUGUAAAGCCCUUUUGUUGGGAAAGAAAAACAGCAGGUUAAUCCCCCGCUGUUCUGACGGUACCCAAAGAAUAAGCACCGGCUAACUUCGUG
rnacentral:rRNA from 1 species